UGGGGAAUAUUGCACAAUGGGCGAAAGCCUGAUGCAGCAACGCCGCGUGAGUGAUGAAGGUCUUCGGAUUGUAAAGCUCUGUCUUUUGGGACGAUAAUGACGGUACCAAAGGAGGAAGCCACGGCUAACUACGUGCCAGCAGCCGCGGUAAUACGUAGGUGGCGAGCGUUGUCCGGAUUUACUGGGCGUAAAGGGUGCGUAGGCGGAUGUUUAAGUGAGAUGUGAAAUACCCGGGCUUAACUUGGGUGCUGCAUUUCAAACUGGAUAUCUAGAGUGCAGGAGAGGAGAAUGGAAUUCCUAGUGUAGCGGCGAAAUGCGUAGAGAUUAGGAAGAACACCAGUGGCGAAGGCGAUUCUCUGGACUGUAACUGACGCUGAGGCACGAAAGCGUGGGUAGCAAACAGGAUUAGAUACCCUGGUAGUCCACGCCGUAAACGAUGAGUACUAGGUGUAGGAGGUAUCGACCCCUUCUGUGCCGCAGUAAACACAUUAAGUACUCCGCCUGGGAAGUACGAUCGCAAGAUUAAAACUCU
rnacentral:rRNA from 1 species